rnacentral:SRP_RNA from 1 species
ACAGGGUGCAGUGGCUUGUGCCUGUACCAGUUACUCAGGAGGCUGAGGUGGGAGGAUCACUUGAGCCCAGGAGUUCUAGGCUGUAGUGUGCUAUUCUGAUUGGGUGUCCACACUAAGUUCAGCAUCAAUAUGGUGACCUCUCAGGAGUGGGGGACCACCAGGUUGCCUAAGGAGGGGUGAACUGGCCCAGGUAGGAAACAGAGCAGGUCAAAACUCCCAUGCUGAUCAGUAGUGGCAUCACCUUGUGAAUAGCCAGUGCACUCCAGCUUGGGCAAUGUAGCAAGACCCCAUCUCU